GGGCCGGGAGCUGCCGGCGGCGGCGCCGAGGAGCCGAGCAGAGAUGCCCGCGGCGAGCAGCCCCCAGGGAAGAAAUGUGUAUGUGUUGAGCCACCUAGGAGAGUUAAAGAAAUACUUGAGGAGCACCUUCAUUUUCAGAAAGAAGAAUGCGAUGUUAAACAUCCAGCUGCAGUGGCUGUAGAAGGAGUUUGGGAUGUGAAAAACAAUUUCUCCAUUAGAAGCCUGAAAGCAGUGUCACAGAACAGAAGCAGUUUACUUUUACAGCCUCAACUCUACUCAAGACAUGCAAGAAUAAAAAAUUGCUGAACUUUACUGCUGUGAAGACUUGAGUCUGCUUUGAUGUGUCAAAUCAAACAUCAGAAUGACUAGCUACCUUUGGAAAUGUAGAUCUGUACUUCCAGGAUUUUGAAUAAAAUUCUGCUUGAAUAUG